AGAGUUUGAUCCUGGCUCAGAACGAACGCUGGCGGCGUGCCUAACACAUGCAAGUCGAGCGCGAAUGGAGCAAUCCUAGUAGAGCGGCGCACGGGUGCGUAACACGUGGAUAAUCUGCCUGGGUGUCCGGGAUAACCAGUCGAAAGAUUGGCUAAUACCGGAUAAGCCCCCGGGAGCUUCGGCUCUUGAGGGAAAAGGUGGCCUCUGUAUACAAGCUAUCACAUCCAGAUGAGUCCGCGGCCCAUCAGCUAGUUGGCGGGGUAAUGGCCCACCAAGGCAACGACGGGUAGCUGGUCUGAGAGGACGAUCAGCCACACUGGAACUGAGACACGGUCCAGACUCCUACGGGAGGCAGCAGUGGGGAAUUUUGCGCAAUGGGCGAAAGCCUGACGCAGCAACGCCGCGUGUGUGAUGAAGGUCUUCGGAUUGUAAAGCACUUUCGACCGGGACGAAAACCCGUUGGCUAACAUCCAACGGCUUGACGGUACCGGGAGAAGAAGCACCGGCUAACUCUGUGCCAGCAGCCGCGGUAAUACAGAGGGUGCAAGCGUUGUUCGGAAUUAUUGGGCGUAAAGCGCGUGUAGGCGGCUUUGCAAGUCGGGUGUGAAAGCCCUCAGCUCAACUGAGGAAGUGCGCCCGAAACUGCAGAGCUUGAGUGCCGGAGAGGGUGGCGGAAUUCCCCAAGUAGAGGUGAAAUUCGUAGAUAUGGGGAGGAACACCGGUGGCGAAGGCGGCCACCUGGACGGUAACUGACGCUGAGACCCGAAAGCGUGGGUAGCAAACAGGAUUAGAUACCCUGGUAGUCCACGCCGUAAACGAUGAGAACUAGGUGUCGUGGGUGUUGACCCCCGCGGUGCCGUAGCUAACGCAUUAAGUUCUCCGCCUGGGAAGUACGGUCGCAAGACUAAAACUUAAAGGAAUUGACGG
rnacentral:rRNA from 1 species